AACGAACGCUGGCGGCAGGCUUAGCACAUGCAAGUCGAACGCAUCCUUCGGGGUGAGUGGCAGACGGGUGAGUAACGCGUGGGAACGUGCCCUUCAGUUCGGAAUAACCCAGGGAAACUUGGGCUAAUACCGGAUACGUGCGAGAGCAGAAAGAUUUAUCGCUGAAGGAUCGGCCCGCGUCUGAUUAGCUAGUUGGUGGGGUAAUGGCCCACCAAGGCGACGAUCAGUAGCUGGUCUGAGAGGAUGAUCAGCCACAUUGGGACUGAGACACGGCCCAAAAUCCUACGGGAGGCAGCAGUGGGGAAUAUUGGGCAAUGGGCGCAAGCCUGAUCCAGCCAUGCCGCGUGAGUGAUGACGGCCUUAGGGUUGUAAAGCUCUUUCGUCCGGGACGAUAAUGACGGUACCGGAAGAAGAAGCCCCGGCUAACUUCGUGCCAGCCGCCGCCGUAA
rnacentral:rRNA from 1 species